UUGCUAUCUAUUGCGAACAAAAGAGUAUCCAAGUGAUUCUAACCUCUUGGAAAUUAUUAUAUAGCAAGGCCAAUUAGUGUUAUACAAAAUACAAAGAAGAACUUGAACAUUUCUUAAAAAUGAAUUUUUAGAGAAUUAUUAGCAUACUACGCUAAUAAAUACAACAGUAAUUAACACCAAUUGGUUUAGUAGACAUUAUAAUCCUAAUAAUCAUGAAAAAAGUUUGUCCUGAAUAGAUGGACAAUGGUUUGACACGUUCAUACAUCUUCAUCGGGCCAAAUAGGAUAGACCACGCAAAAAGCAGCUAAUCGUAUAUACUGCUAAAGUUAAAAGUCUGAGUGAUUAGCCCUGAAACAAUGGUGUGGCAAGACGAUUAAUCAUUCGGUAAAAGAGGGACCAAGAAGUAGACAGAGGAACAAAAGACAAGGAGAAAAUGUUCGAUGCGGAAUAGAAAGAGGUCAAAUGUGUAGUAGACUCAUCAUCAUCAUCACUGGCACGCCGAUUCUAAAACGAGACCUCUCCUUGGGGAGUUUGCUCAUUGCACACUGAAAUAACCACACACUCUUUUCUCGUCCUCGUUUUAUAAUUCACAAGUACCGAUUAAACUUAACAAAGUUUUUAUUUGUGUACUUUUUGGUUAACACUUCACCAAAACACCAGAGAUAUUGUGAUCAAUUUAUAAAACACGACUUACGAAAGACAUUAACGAAUUCUUACAUUUUAAGAACGGUCUGCUUUUAUU